UAAAUAAAAAAAUGGACAGUGUAAAGUAAAGUGUGCAAUUGCUGAAAAUGAACUGAAAUUUAAUUUUUAAGCCUUUAAUCAAGUCAUUUUAAAGGGUCAUCCAUUUUAUCCAUAGAUUGUAACAGAAGUGUUUGUGUUGCACAUUAUCAAAAACAAUGUUUACAAGUGUUAAAAUUAAUUGUAUUUGAUAAUGGUUAAUUUGAACCUGCUACUUGUCUUGCAGAUUUAAAAUAUUCAUAGUGUCAGUGGCCCAGGUUGUGGCAUUUUCUUACAUUAAAGUACACGGAUGACUCAUCAGUGUCUCAUAAUUAUUCACGAGGCUGCGCAUGCGUAUUCAAAUCAUAUUCAAUUAAAGCCAUUUGCACAAUUUUGAUAAUCAUGCAGUAACCAACAUAACCACUCCCACCCCUCCAAAAAAAAAACUCAGAUCUAUGAAAAUCACAUGGGUCUUUAAAGGAAACACCCCUGCUUUAACUGAAUGUCACAAGUUCACUUGCCCUUUCAGUCCUGCUAGAUAAUGAUAAACAAACUUUGCUUGCUGUUCUUGAAGGAGGCUCUAACCUGAGGCUUGGCUCGAGCUCUGAGCAGGGGUGUGCGAUAUUUCCUUAAGGUCAACAUCACAUCUUUGGGGUAGAAGCCAGUGGCCAGACAGGUAGCCCUUGGUGUACUGGUUUAGGAUAGGCACAUUAUCCCAUUUCCUCUUGGUUGGAAGAGCUGCAUCAACAGGAGCGACCCACUGAGACUCCUUAUCAUCAAAAGACAGGAAGUUAUCUCCAUCGUAGCUGUACUCAUCAA